UACAGAGGUCUCAAGCGUUGUUCGGAUUCAUUGGGCGUAAAGGGUGCGUAGGUGGCGCUGUAAGUCAGGUGUGAAAUUUCGGAGCUUAACUCCGAAACUGCAUUUGAUACUGCGGUGCUUGAGGACUGGAGAGGAGACUGGAAUUCACGGUGUAGCAGUGAAAUGCGUAGAGAUCGUAAGGAAGGCCAGUGGCGAAGGCGAGUUCCUGGACAGUUACUGACGCUGAGGCACGAAGGCCAGGGGAGCAAACGGG
rnacentral:rRNA from 1 species